GGGUUUCACGGUGUUAGCCAGGAUGGUCUCGAUCUCCUGACCUCGUGAUCCGCCCGCCUUGGCCUCCCAAAGUGCUGGGAUUACAGGCUUGAGCCACCACGCCCUGCCAGCUCACGCUUGUAAAUCCCAGCACUUUGGGAGGCCAAGGCGGGUGGAUCACCUGAGAUCAGGAGUUCGAGACCAGCCUGACCAACAUGGUGAAACUCCAUCUCUACUAAAAACACAAAAAUUUGCUGGGCGUGGUGGCAGGCACCUGUAGUCCCAGCUACUCCGGAGGCUGAGGCAGGAGCAUCACUUGAACCCGAGAGGUGGAGGUUGCAGUGAGCCAAGAUCGCACCAUUACACUCCAGCCUGGG
rnacentral:lncRNA from 1 species